rnacentral:rRNA from 1 species
ACGCUCGACACCUACGGGGGCAGCAGUAGGGAAUCUUCCACAAUGGGCGCAAGCCUGAUGGAGCAACACCGCGUGAGUGAAGAAGGGUUUCGGCUCGUAAAGCUCUGUUGUUGGAGAAGAACGUGCGUGAGAGUAACUGUUCACGCAGUGACGGUAUCCAACCAGAAAGUCACGGCUAACUACGUGCCAGCAGCNGAGUAUCUGAGCGGNUGNAG